CCUAAAUGCAUUCUUAAGAGCUUAAAACAUCUUUUCACACCAGCUGUAUAGAAAGCUCUAAAAUAUUCUCCCAUGACGUCUGCAGAUCCAGUGUCAGAUAGGAAGUCAGGGUGAAAACACCUUGAUAAUAAUGCUAACUAUUAUUCUGAAUGGCUGCCUACUGCAACUUAUUAUUAAGUUUUCAAUAAUGAAAUGCACUUGGCUCAAAACCUGGAUAUUUUAUGACAUCUUUACCUACUUUCUGAAUCCCCUUUUUGCUACAAACAAUUAAAAUUAAGACCACAGCAGAGGCUCACCUUUUGAUGAGUGAUCUUGGAAUGAUUGAUGCAAGAAGCUGCACUAGGAAGACAAAAGAUCUUUAGCAAUAGUUUUGGUAACAUACUUCCUGGAGAAAUGCAACCAUUUAUUUAAGUAGGAGUUGGUCAAUAUUUAUCCCAAAUGACAGUUGGCACUGUGUAGAAUUCUGCUGGGAAAGACAUGGAGCAGUGCUCACAAAAUGCAGUGCAUGAGAGCAUGACAUAAGCUGUAAAAACAUCCUCCUCUUGAAAGGGUUAAAAUCUAGAGAAAUACAUGGAGCAAAGAGCCUGCCUGAUGAACUCAGAAUAUCCUCAGCCUCCUCUUCUCUGAGCCAAACAAACCACGGGACCUCAGCUGCUCCUUACGCACUUUGCUCUUCGGACCAUUUCCCAUCUUUGUAGACCUCCUUUGGACUCUCACACCUUUAUAACAUACAGACUGCUACAGAAAGUAUCUGUCACACAUCUGUUUCCCAGAAGUAAUAUUUUGUUCAAAGGUUUGACAAAUCAGCUACAACCAAGAAGUUUCACACCCCAUUUCAUUACCAAAAAGCAGAUGAAUUACUUGUUUCUCUCUUCAUUUUAUAAAUGCCACAAAGUGAUACAGAUUUUAAUGUUUUGUUUUGGAACCUGUCUGGUUCAUAUUCGCAAAUUUACUUGCUAAGCUUGAAUGGUGUCUUUUAAAAUCCAUGUUGAAAUUUGUUUGGAGUAAUUUAUUCUGUUGUAGUCAUUUUAAUUCAUGUUGCAAUAAGCCAUCUCUGUCUAGGGACUAGACUGAAGGAUUUCCUCUGAUCAAUUCCAAAUUUGCACUCUACCUCAGAUGUUACUUUGCCUCCUGUCACUCUCCUCUGUAGCAUCCAUUACUGAAGUAGUAUGCCAGUGUUCUCAGUCUUAGUUUCAGUCCAAGCUGCUGUUUACAUAAGCAUCUUGUCCUCUAUAUGGCAAAAACUAUAACAAAAACACUAUAUUUUCUGUGCUUCAGUGGGGGUACAUGACUAAGUGCUUCAGCCAUGUAGAUGUGCAAAUCUUUAUUAAACCUUUUGGCAGCGAGUUUGCUGCAGUU